rnacentral:rRNA from 1 species
AUGGAUCAUGAAUUCCCAGAGGGAUUUAAACUGGUGAACAUUGAAUCAUAUGAUGGUACAAUAGACCCCGCGGUAUGGAUUGAAGAUUUCCUCCUUCACAUCCACAUGGCCCGCGGUGACGAUCUACAUGCCAUCAAGUACCUCCCACUAAAACUCCAAGGACCGGCUCGGCAUUGGCUGAAUAGCUUGCCAGCAAACUCCAUUGGCAGUUGGGAGAAUUUGGAAGACGCAUUCCUUGACAACUUCCAGGGCACUUAUGUGCGACCACCGGAUGCUGAUGACUUGAGUCACAUAACCCAACAGCCAGGAGAAUCGGCCAGGAAAUUAUGGACCCGGUUCCUAACUAAAAAGAACCAAAUUGUCGACUGUCCGGAUGCCGAGGCCUUAGCAGCAUUUAAGCAUAACAUCCGUGACGAGUGGCUCGCCCGACACCUCGGCCAAGAGAAGCCGAAGUCUAUGGCAGCCCUCACGGCACUCAUGACCCGCUUUUGCGCGGGCGAGGACAGCUGGCUGGCUCACAGCAACAACACAUCAAGAAAUCCUAGCAAUUCAGAUGCCAAAGAUAGCAACGGCAGACCACGUCGCAACAGACACAAGCUCCGCAACAACGGCGACAACGCCGAAGACACGACAGUCAAUGCCGGAUUCAGUGGCUCUAAAUCUGGUCAGCGGAAAAAGCCGUUCAAAAGAAGCAAUCCGGGCCCGUCAGUUUGGACCGCAUACUCGAUCGCUCGUGUCAAAUUCACGGCACCCCCGAUAAGCCAGCCAACCACACCAACAGAGAAUGUUGGGUGUUCAAACAGGCCGGCAAGUUGA